AGAGUUUGAUCCUGGCUCAGGAUAAACGCUGGCGGCGUGCCUUAUGCAUGCAAGUCGUACGGUCCAUUUUCGGAUGGGCAGUGGCGGACGGGUGAGUAACACGUAAGUAACCUGCCCGGAAGUGGGGGAUAACCCCGCGAAAGUGGGGCUAAUACCGCAUGUGGUCGUCUUCGGUUCGCCGGGGACGAUUAAAGCCUUCGGGCGCUUCCGGAGGGGCUUGCGGCCGAUUAGCUUGUUGGUAGGGUAACGGCCUACCAAGGCGACGAUCGGUAGCCGGUCUGAGAGGACGGCCAGCCACACGGGGACUGAGACACGGCCCUGACUCCUACGGGAGGCAGCAGCAAGGAAUCUUGCGCAAUGGGCGAAAGCCUGACGCAGCAACGCCGCGUGGGGGAAGAAGGCCCUUGGGUUGUAAACCCCUUUUGCAGGGGAAGAUAAUGACGGUACCCUGCGAAUAAGCCACGGCUAACUACGUGCCAGCAGCCGCGGUAAUACGUAGGUGGCAAGCGUUGUCCGGAUUUACUGGGCGUAAAGAGCGCGUAGGCGGCUUGUUAAGUCUGGGGUGAAAUCUCCCGGCUCAACCGGGAGGGGUCCUUGGAUACUGGCAGGCUGGAGGGGAGCAGAGGAGAGCGGAAUUCCCGGUGUAGUGGUGAAAUGCGUAGAUAUCGGGAGGAACACCAGUGGCGAAGGCGGCUCUCUGGGCUCUACCUGACGCUGAGGUGCGAAAGCGUGGGGAGCGAACCGGAUUAGAUACCCGGGUAGUCCACGCUGUAAACGAUGGACACUAGGUGUGGGGGGUAUCGACCCCCUCCGUGCCGAAGCUAACGCUAUAAGUGUCCCGCCUGGGGAGUACGGCCGCAAGGCUAAAACUCAAAGGAAUUGACGG
rnacentral:rRNA from 1 species